CUCUCUCUCUCUCUCUCUCUGUACGAUGUCCUGAGUACGAUAAUUAAUGUUGUGACGCAGCUCGACCCUCACCUCGAAGCAGCCUCACAAGGACUCGGACUCUCCACCACACCAAGCAACCAUGGCGAACACAACCAGAACAGCUCCUAGUGAAUGUGGAGGAUGAGAAAACAAAGCAGAAAACAAGGAGAAUGAUAUAAGAAGCGAUAGUAAGCGCAACAGGUCAAAAGAAGAAUAAGAAGCCACCCUCCAUCUUUUCCCGAUGUGGUCCAGGUCCAUGGUGGUCACCAGGGCUGGGUGGUGGAACCACUGGCAUCAUGCAUUCCAUGGACACUGAAGAUGAAAUUCUUUGGUCAGUAUGUCGUCAAUGUGAGCCGUCCGAGCACAUUUUGAAGGAAGGCCAUGAGAGGACACAAACUUCAGCUUCUCCUCCAUCUGAGACAACAUAAGGCUCAGUGGCUCCCCCAGGCGGUGCUGCUCCCACACCUCGAAC